rnacentral:rRNA from 1 species
UACGUAGGGUGCAAGCGUUGUCCGGAAUUAUUGGGCGUAAAGAGCUCGUAGGCGGUUUGUUGCGUCGGCUGUGAAAUCCCGAGGCUCAACCUCGGUCUGCAGUCGAUACGAGCAAACUAGAGUGUUGCAGGGGAGACUGGAAUUCCUGGUGUAGCGGUGAAAUGACGCAGAUAUCAGGAGGAACACCGGUGGCGAAGGCGGGUCUCUGGGCAACAACUGACGCUGAGGAGCGAAAGCGUGGGGAGCGAACAGG